CUUGGGUGGCGACCGGCGCACGGGUGAGUAACGCGUAUCCAACCUGCCCAUUACUCUGGGAUAGCCUUGCGAAAGUAAGAUUAAUACCGGAUGUUGUUAAAAACCCGCAUGAGUUUUUAACCAAAGAUUUAUUGGUAAUGGAUGGGGAUGCGUGACAUUAGGUAGUAGGUGAGGUAACGGCUCACCUAGCCGACGAUGUCUAGGGGUUCUGAGAGGAAGGUCCCCCACACUGGAACUGAGACACGGUCCAGACUCCUACGGGAGGCAGCAGUGAGGAAUAUUGGUCAAUGGACGAGAGUCUGAACCAGCCAAGUAGCGUGCAGGACGACGGCCCUCUGGGUUGUAAACUGCUUUUAGUUGGGAAUAAAAAGAGGGACGUGUCCCUAAUUGUAUGUACCAUCAGAAAAAGGACCGGCUAAUUCCGUGCCAGCAGCCGCGGUAAUACGGAAGGUCCAGGCGUUAUCCGGAUUUAUUGGGUUUAAAGGGAGCGUAGGCGGGACGUGUAAGUCAGCUGUGAAAGUUUGCGGCUCAACCGUAAAAUUGCAGUUGAAACUGCCGUUCUUGAGUGUGCGCAGGGAUGUUGGAAUUCGUGGUGUAGCGGUGAAAUGCUUAGAUAUCACGAAGAACUCCGAUCGCGAAGGCAGAUGUCCGGAGCACAACUGACGCUGAGGCUCGAAAGUGUGGGUAUCAAACAGGAUUA
rnacentral:rRNA from 1 species